AUACGGAGGAUGCGAGCGUUAUCCGGAUUUAUUGGGUUUAAAGGGUGCGUAGGCGGUUUGCUAAGCGGGAGGUGAAAUGCCGGCGCUCAACGUCGGAAGUGCCUCCCGAACUGGUGGACUGGAAUGACUCUGCCGUGGGAGGAAUGUGUAGUGUAGCGGUGAAAUGCUUAGAGAUUACACAGAACACCGAUUGCGAAGGCAUCUCACGAAGGGUUGAUUGACGCUGAGGCACGAAAGCGUGGGGAUCAAACAGGAUUAGAUACCCUGGUAGUCCACGCAGUAAACGAUGAUGGCUAACCGCUGGUUUAUUCGGAUCAGUGGCCAAGCGAAAGCGAUAAGCCAUCCACCUGGGGAGUACGACCGCAAGGUUGAAACUCAAAUGAAUUGACGGGG
rnacentral:rRNA from 1 species